rnacentral:rRNA from 1 species
CAGCCGCCACGGGAAUACGAAGGGGGCUAGCGUUGUUCGGAGUUACUGGGCGUAAAGCGCACGUAGGCGGAUACUUAAGUCAGGGGUGAAAUCCCGGGGCUCAACCCCGGAACUGCCUUUGAUACUGGGUAUCUCGAGUCCGGAAGAGGUGAGUGGAAUUCCGAGUGUAGAGGUGGAAUUCGUAGAUAUUCGGAGGAACACCAGUGGCGAAGGCGGCUCACUGGUCCGGUACUGACGCUGAGGUGCGAAAGCGAGGGGAGCAAACAGGAUUAGAUACCCGAGUAGUCCCUGUCUCUUAUAA